rnacentral:misc_RNA from 1 species
AGAAGCAGAGAUAGAUGUGAAUGGGUGAUUUUUCUGCUAGGGUGAUUUUUCUGCUAGGGUAAUUUUAAUUUCCUAACACUGUCAUUGUGCUUUAUAAUGCACUCUUUUUGGAUAAAGUGGUGCUGGUGGUGUUGUCUCCCAUUAAUGGGAAAACUAUGUGAUUUUUUAUUUAAUUCAAGACAGUGAAAAAGAAGCAACACCUCAAAGUGACCAGAUUUGAAGGAAUGAAAAUUUGGAUUUGUACCAAAUUUUAUUAGCUAAAGAAUUGCAUAUUUUGCAGAUCAUCGCCUGAGGCAUCAACAA